CAUCCCCCGAAAGCUGAUGCCUAGAAUGUCGUGGAAGAACCUGCCCUGUGGAGCUGUUAUGAGCACAGCUGGGUGAACUGUGGUUCUAAUUUGGAAGAUAUCUGUGAUCACACUGCAAGCUGAAAUUGUGAACACAAUACUCUUUUCUUCCAGUUUCAGUAAAAGCGACCUUUGCAGUCAUUACAUGAAGGUGAACACUUCGAUGUCAGCUGGACAGCGCCACGUGACGGUUCAGCUGAACGUGCCCCCGUGUCAUCUUCCUUCGGAUACAUUGCUCUACUGUAGUUUUUCAAUCGGAACUGUGAGUGAAGUGUGACAUUUUCAUUUGCUUGUUCUCAUUCCGCAUCUCUGGCCGUUCGACCGGAACGCUCCCCUUUUGAAUGUUAAACAGAGUUUGCUGUUCUCAAGUAACGCGAUUGCUCGCGGCGCGCUGACUACAAUCCGAACGUCGUUUAUAACCGCAGCCGCACGCGCUUGUCAGGUAACUGCAACUUCAUUAUAACUUGCGCAAUAUCGGUCAUAGCAGGCAGACAGCCAGAAUAGAAAAAUAAAAUAUGUUACUAUGCAUUACAUGACAGUCUUGACCAGCGGUCUGUGGAUGGUUACGAUUGUUGGUAACAUCGGAAAAGUAAGACAGUCACCAUAAUUAGGUUGAUAUUGUGGGGUUUCAUAAAUUAAAUGAAUGCUAAGCUUACACUAAUAGAGAAUAAUGCGCAGAAUGAAAUAGGACUAAUGAUUGAAUUAAUAAAAUAAUUACUGUAUGUCCAGACAUAAAAGCAAAUGACCUAGACGUGCAUAUGUGUGAUUACGCAAGAAGACAUGUGUACGAGACGGUCAAACAGAGGUGACGGCUGAGAUGGAAAAACGCAAAAGCAGAAGUGGUGCAAGGCAAGAAAAAAUAUAAGUCUGUCUGUUGCAAAGUUAUGCUUUAGAUCUCACUCGC